rnacentral:lncRNA from 1 species
AGUGCUGGGAUUACAGGCAUGAGCCACCGUGCCCAGCUGUUUUUCUUCUAUUAUUAUUGUUCUUGCAGGAGCUGGUAAAGUGGCUGAUGUGGCCACAGCUCCAUAAAUCCAUGUGGAACGAAGGGUGGACAUCGCCUGAGUCCAGGAGACAGGACAGGGUCACUCAUCUCUGUCCCUGGUGAUGGAAACUCAGGCUCAGGAAAGAGCCUUGACCUGCCCUGGGUCACAGAGAGAAUAUUAGGGUCAGGGCUUGAGCCCGGGUGCUGUGGUCAGGCCCUUAGGCCGCCUCUCACACCCAGACUAGGAAGCUGGAGCAGAAAGUUUGCUAGAACAAUCCUGAGAAGAGGCCUGCACAGUUCAAGGGGCAGCUUGGAGGAGGAGAGGGAGGGAGGACCGGCUCUGGCCAGUGGGCUCUUGGACCUCAGGCCAGGCUCUGGCAGCUGCAUCUGGUAUCAGGCCUGCAGGUCCAGUGCCUAUUAUGGGGCCUAUUAUGACUGCACAAGGGGCCUCAAGUUCAUUCAGGCCAAGCCUCUCAUUCUGCAGAGAACCACACAGUGGUUGCCGGGAUUUGCCCAAGGCUGGUGGGUUGGUCAUGAGGGCAGGCCCGAACUCAUCUCUAUUUUCUUGCAUUCCGGCUCUCCUGAUGUUCCAGGCCCAUCUCUGAGUCAUCCUUGGACAGGAGAGAUCCCAGAGGGUAAACAGGACAUGAGCCUGCAGUGAGGGGAGACAGAGGAGGAGAGAACUCCCUGAAACAAGAGGAGAGGAGGAGCUGGUGGGGAGGACACAGGCUCUGCAGUCCCAGGGAUUCGCAGUGUUAGUUGAUCUCCGGGGACACUAGUUCCCAAGAGACCCCACUGAAGGCCUGGCUGUACCAUCAUAGGCUGUGUGCCCUUGGGCAAGAACCUCUACCAUUCCUCGUUGCCUGUAUAUAAAUUGAAGGCUUUGCUCUAGACAGCGCUGGGGAGAAUGAACGCCUGAGUACUCAUGUCUUUAUGCACUGUAGUAUUAUUUCCUUACAACAGACUCCUGAACCUGGAACGGCAGUGUCAAAGGGUUCACAAAAUGUUAGACUUCUGAAGCAAAUCAGAUGGCACCUUUUUUGAAUAAUGAAGAAUCUUUACCCCUGGCAUGAGGAGCUGAGGACAACUCCCACUCCACGAUGUGAAGCCACAGAGUUUCGAGGCCCCAGGACCUCCAGCGUCAAUGUUGUGGGAUGAUGGGUGACAGAGCCAAAGCAUCGCCAUCUUGGACAAGCACGGUCAUUCUGAAGUUCCCCUUGAUCAAAAACUGCCUAAACCCAAAGGAUAUCAGCCUGAUGGCUAAGGUCAGCAUGACCAUAAACCAUAAAUAACAUCUCUGACCAGGAACAUUCCAAACCCCUCCAUGAGACAUGCCAGCCCUGAGAUAACCUCCCCUCCGGCCAGAAAGAUGUCAGACCCAAGAUAACCUCCCCUCCGACCAGAGACAUCCCAACCCUGCCAUAAACUUCUCCCCCACACAGAAACAUUCUGAGCUUGUAAUAAGCCCCCUCAUCCUAAAACCAAUAUAUACUCUUAGUCCGUAAGAGAAAGUGCUCCUGAACAAAAUUGGCCAGAAGCCCCUCUCCGGCUUAUUUUCUCUAAAAUACAUCUGUCGUUAAAUUGAGCCACA